rnacentral:rRNA from 1 species
ACGGAAGGCAGCAGUGGGGAAUAUUGGACAAUGGGGGAAACCAUGAUCCAGCGACGCCGCGUGAGUGAAGAAGUAUUUCGGUAUGUAAAGCUCUAUCAGCAAGGAAGAAAAUGACGGUACUUGACUAAGAAGCUCCGGCUAAAUACGUGCCAGCAGCCGCGGUAAUACGUAUGGAGCAAGCGUUAUCCGGAUUUACUGGGUGUAAAGGGAGCGUAGACGGCAAAGCAAGUCUGAAGUGAAAUCCCGGGGCUCAACCCCGGAACUGCUUUGGAAACUGUUUAGCUAGAGUGCAGGAGAGGUAAGCGGAAUUCCUAGUGUAGCGGUGAAAUGCGUAGAUAUUAGGAGGAACACCAGUGGCGAAGGCGGCUUACUGGACUGUAACUGACGUUGAGGCUCGAAAGCGUGGGGAGCAAACAGGAUUAGAUACCCUGGUA